GUAAAAUCCAAAACUCUCUCCCUCCUUCAAGAGAAGACCGUGAACGGGUGAUGGUGGUGCGGCCGAUUCCUCUCCUCCGAUCGACAACAACAACUAACAUUGCCUUCUUCUCUUUUCAUCACAAAUGGCAGCGCGACCUCCAUCUCCAGCGAUAUCUCCUUUCCGUCUCCGAUUUUUUCGAUUCAUGUUAGUUUUUGUUCAACAUCAUGUUUUAUUAACCUAAUUUGUUUGAUUUUUACAGAGAUUAACACAAAUUCUAAAAGGGAAAACGAAACCCUAGUUGUGAAAAAACGAAGCAGAAUAGGGUUCGAGAAGAAGAAAGUCGCACUGUAGAGAGAACUAAGGGAUUGGGUAGCGCGCCAUCUCCGUGUACGAUUCUUCUUCCCAACCUUCACCUUUCUCUUUUCUCUGCGUACAAAUCUAACCCUUCUUCGCCUUUUUCGUCGAAUUCGCCUUCGAUUUUUGGACAUCAUUCCGGUUUCUCUAAUGAGUCUGAUACUCCUCCUAAACCUCCUAGGAAAGAACCCAAGACACCCCGCAAGGUGAGGGUGCUGAAAUAGAUUGGAGUUUACUAUUGCGAGGUCCUUUAAUUGGAUUGGAUCUAUAAUGGACUCCAUUGAUGGAUGUUGAGAGGCUUUAUGGAUGUUGAAAAAGUACAAAUCUAACAUUGUCUGAGGGCUGAGUUGCUAUCUUUUGUUCGGAUAAUCUUGCUGACAUGCCAUAAUUGGCUCUCAUUCACCUAUUUCCACUGCUAAAGGAGUUUUAGUUAAGUUUAAUGUUCCAGCUGCUGCAGUGAUGGAAGCAACUACAGAUGAUGGUUUUGCUGCUGAACUUGAUGCUCUUGCAUAGCUUGAUGAUGAACCUGCUCCUGAUGCCCUAAAGAAUGCACCAUUUAACAUCAAAUUUGAGUGUGAAUCUUGCUUCCGAGACACCUUGUGAGUAUCCAUCAUCAUUAACCGUUACUGUGAGUGAAGUAGAUGCAUUGUAUGAACUCUAUUUGAAGUUAAGCAACUCAAUUAUUCAAAAUGGUCUUAUUCACAAGGUGAGUUUAGAGUUUUAGUUUAAGAUUAAAUAUCCUUAAUUAAUUAAGUUGCUUAAUAAUGACUUAUUCAAAGCUUGUUUAGACCUCUU